UAGUCCACGCCGUAAACGAUGAUUACUCGAUAUUGGCGAUAUACAGUCAGUGUCCAAGCGAAAGUGAUAAGUAAUCCACCUGGGGAGUACGAUCGCAAGAUUGAAACUCAAAGGAAUUGACGGGGGCCCGCACAAGCGGUGGAGCAUGUGGUUUAAUUCGAUGAUACGCGAGGAACCUUACCAGGGCUUAAAUGCAGGACGAUCGGUCUGGAAACAGACUUUUCUUCGGACGGCUUGCAAGGUGCUGCAUGGUUGUCGUCAGCUCGUGCCGUGAGGUGUCGGGUUAAGUCCCAUAACGAGCGCAACCCCUAUCUUUAGUUGCUAGCAGGUAAUGCUGAGGACUCUAGAGAAACUGCCCGUGCAAACGGAGAGGAAGGUGGGGAUGACGUCAAAUCAUCACGGCCCUUACGUCCUGGGCUACACACGUGCUACAAUGGUUGUGACAGAGGGUUGCUACAUAGUGAUAUGAUGCUAAUCUCUAAACAC
rnacentral:rRNA from 1 species